AGCGAACGCUGGCGGCAGGCCUAACACAUGCAAGUCGAACGAACCCUUCGGGGUUAGUGGCAGACGGGUGAGUAACACGUGGGAACGUGCCUUUUGGUUCGGAACAACUCAGGGAAACUUGAGCUAAUACCGGAUGUGCCCCUUCGGGGGAAAGGAUUUAUCGCCAUUAGAGCGGCCCGCGUCUGAUUAGCUAGUUGGUGAGGUAAAGGCUCACCAAGGCUUCGAUCAGUAGCUGGUCUGAGAGGAUGAUCAGCCACACUGGGACUGAGACACGGCCCAGACUCCUACGGGAGGCAGCGACGUGGGGAAUCUUGGACAAUGGGCGCAAGCCUGAUCCA
rnacentral:rRNA from 1 species